rnacentral:lncRNA from 1 species
GUUCAUCUUUGCCUAGAUCCUGACUAGUCUCCCAGUCCCUGCCGCUGAAAAACAUCCCCACAGCCACUGGUGUAAAGUACUUAGGUGGACUCCAAUCAAGAUGUAGAAACAUCUCAAGGAUGAUCAAUGGAAACAGGAUGCACCUAAGCUCAAUUGAGUGUCAUAGCAAAGGGUCUGAAUACUUACGUAAAAGGCCCUCCUACAAUCAGGUCAACGCCAUAGAGCUGAAUAUGGUACUGUAGGCAAGCUAAGCGUUUCUACAGGUGGCACUACCCUGCUGGGAAAGGAACUCCUGUACUUUGAGAAACAUCUGUAUUUGUAAGAGGGCAAUUCUACUGUAUAUGUCAUUGAACAGUAAAUUCAUUUUUUAUUUUUGACAAUAGACACACAUUUAUGGUAGAGUCCCUUGCCAACCCAUGGCGCUGGGCUUGACUCCUUUUCCAGAUGGAUGCACAGCAACUGUUGCUCCAGCCCAGCCUUAGCUGUAGAUGCUUAAUACACACACUAACUGAGUCACUCAGGUAUCAAGUGUUUGUCAAGAAAGUGUAUCCCCUUUUUGCUGUCAAGUAGCAGAGUGGCGCAGAGGGAAAUUGUCUGCAGAUUUAGGUAGGUGGGUAGGUGUUUUAUGUAUUCUAUCAUAAGCAGAUGUUUCAGCAAACACAAAAACGGUAAUGCAGAGAGGAUUAGAAGCAUAUAAACUAUGUUACUCACCAAUGCAACAGUAGUAAAUAGUCAACACUUAAAUCACCACCAUGUGCUGCUAUACAAAGCAGCAUGUUGACUUCUCCUUGUGGAUUGAGUAUUCUAAGAGAGUCAAAGUUCACAUUUGCAUUUCCAUUUGUUUUCAGGUAUUAAGCAAGGGAAAAUCCACCUUUACUUUGAACUCAAACCUCCAUUUUAUGUGCCGGCUUCGUAAUGGGGAUUUUAAUGAUGAAUAUAACCCUUUUUUAAUGGGGAAAAUAUGGAAAGCUGCCUCGAUCUAGCCAGGGGCCAUAAAAUGAGAUUAGCUUGUGGCAACCCUUGUUCAGGCUUUCAUCGGUAAUUAGUCUGUGUCAUGGAAAACAGUGUCUUUAGGAAACGCCCUCUGCACACUCCACAGGUUGAAAAUCAGGCACCUAUUAAAGAAUUUGUGACAUUUUGGAGACGGUCUCAGUAACACUUUCCCUUGUUAGCGUGGAAACAUUCUUAUGCAUUUGACAUAUUUCAAGCUAUUGAUGCUGUCUGGCAGCACUGAUCUUUCAGAGAGUCAAGGGUGUGCUUUUAAUACAGCGGCACCAACAUCAAUGUGAGUGAUAAGUGACAGUGUAGACAGAAUUGAUCCACUGUUCUGCGCUCUGAUGAAUAGGUCUGGAAUGGAAACAGAAACUCCAACUGGGACUCCAUGGUUCACAUACUGUUGAGAGAACAGAGCGGAAACUAGACGGCCAUUAUAAGCUAC